GGGUCCUUUGCUCAGCUAUAGCAUUUGACUGCAGAUCAAAAGGUCACUAGUUCGAAUCUGGUAGGACUGU
rnacentral:tRNA from 1 species